rnacentral:sRNA from 1 species
UAAAAAAAAAGGCCGAAUCCCCUAUCCAGGGGGUACGGGGGAAUCUUUUCGGGUGAAUCGUGCAGGCGUGGAAGCCGGAUCGUGAAGUAUAAGAUCUUGGUAUCAUAAGUGCCGUCUUAGUUACCACCUGAAGGAUACCUGUAAUCCACGCUCAAUCGCAGGGUGCCCUCAAUCCGAACCCAUUAACUAACCCCGGAGGCCGGAGGAGGGACUUC